CUAGCUGUAGCCAGGCAGCCCCAACAACAUGGAGGGUGUGGGAAGCUUUUUUGUAGCAGCUGUCUGACUCAGCACCGACAGAAAAGCAACAAAUGCCCUAACUGUGACCUCCAGCUAAUCACCUUCUUUGAUGGAAAGAGUGAUGUAGAAGUGAAGGCCCUACAGGUGAAGUGCAGCAAUGUGGUCAAUGGCUGUCCAUGGGUUGGAGAUUUGGGCUUUAUGCUCAGACACAGCACAGCAUGCAACUACCAGGUCGUGAGAUGCCCCAACAACUGCAACACACUCGAGUCGGACGCUAAACUAUUACAAAAAGAUUUGAACGAACAUUUAGUCAUCUGCCCAAACCGUUCACACCAGUGCCCACACUGCAGCAUCAUGGGACCAUACGAGAAGAUAACAACGCUACAUAUUGACAGCUGCCCAAAAGCUAAAGUUCAAUGCCCUUAUCCCGAGUGCAACCAAAGUAUACAACGUUGCUACCUUGAUACCCACAUCAACUAUUGCCCACACAAAGCCGUACAGUGCAAGUUUGCAAACGUUGGCUGUCCUGCUAUACUGAAACUAGCUGAUUUACAGGAGCACGAAGAAAAUGACCUACUCCAUCUACAGCUAACUAAAGAGAAUGUACUAGACCUGACAAAGAUUCUCAAAGAGAGGGAGACACGGUUCAGAGUAUUCAUUGAACAGAGAAACAAAGUACUAGCUGAUCUUCAUCACAGCAUGCUCACUUGUGUGAGAUACAAAGGACCGACUACUCUUAAGUUUAGAGAAUUUGACAUGCAUAAGCUGCAAGAUAAGCAAUUUGCCAGUCCAAAGUUCUACCUUAAAACAGGCUAUCGAUUUAAACUGUUGGUUUAUGCAAAUGGUCGAAACCAGGGUGCAAACACACAUGUCUCUGUAUAUCUAGGCAUUACAGAAGGGCAGGAUGACGAAUACCUAACCUGGCCGUUUCAAGGCUCUGUAAAAGUCGAGAUACUCAAUCAGCUACAAGACCGCAACCACUUUAGCAUUGCUAUUCCUUUCCUCAAUGACUGUGUGUGUGGGAGAAUGGUUGAGGGUAAGACCACAAGAGGUUGGGGGAGUGAUCUAUUUAUCUCUAACAGAGAACUGGCAAACAUCUCAAGUAAAAGGCAGUACCUAAGAAAUGACACACUGUACUUUCGUAUUACUAGUGUAGAAAAGCCUGUAAAAAAGGCUCUGUUUGACAGACAAUGAUCUAUUGUGUUGCUGUGUAUGGUAAUGUGUUUUGCUGACUCCACACCUACGUUUGACAAGCUCUCACAGUUAUAUAUAUAUAUAUAUCCUUGUUAAUUAGAAAUCACACCUAGGACAAACUGAUUAUGACUUACAUGUUGCUUUACACUUGCAGAUUAAAUUUGUGUGGACUAUAUUAGCCUUUUGCCGCAUGCAUGCAUACGAUAUUCAUAUUCGUAGGUAUGCAUAUUCACAGUACACAUUUAAUCAGAGAAAAACACGAAAAUGUAUACCCUCGAUAUAAACCUGACCUGCUGCUACAUGUACCAGUAGUGUAUCUAAAAACAAACUAUGCAAGUGGAUCAAGUGGCAUAUAUGGUACCAGAUGUGGAUUAUAGUAGGCGUCGCCAGGACUGGAGUUAGCAUGGUAAAGUUAUAAAUUUUUGGGUGUUCCACACACUUGGUGCACAACUGAUUGAUCAAAAUUUACAUGUCAAGUUCUUUAACACAUUUGUGUAGUAAGAAUGGAAUUACCUCUUCGUGCCAAGUAAGGAAUCACAUGAUUACGCCCAGCACUUGCAGACAACACCACAAUCUAAAAAUCAACCACAUGGAACUGUUGACAGCAACUAAUAAAGGUCAACUCAAAAACCCGAGUUAUGUAACGACAGUCAAUGAAUGAUCGAAAACAACAAAGAUGGCUACCACUAGAGUUAGAGGAGGCUAUGACUACCAGUUUGAGGAGGAGCCUCCCCGUGAGCUCAAGUGUGUCAUCUGUCUAGCUGUAACCAGGCAACCUCAACAACAUGGAGAGUGUGGGAAGCUCUUCUGUAGCAGCUGUCUGGCUCAGCACCGACAGAAAAACAACAAAUGCCCUAAUUGUGAUCUCCAGCUAAACACGUUUUACAAUGGAAAGAGUGAGUACAUGUACCGUGUUAUUGUUAUUAUAACCAGUAUUAUAGGUGAUGUAGAAGUGAAGGCCCUACAGGUGAAAUGCAGCAAUGUGGUCAAUGGCUGUCCAUGGGUUGGAGAUCUGGGCUUUAUGCUCAGACACAGCACAGCAUGCAACUACCAGGUCGUGAGAUGCCCCAACAACUGCAAAACAUUCGAGUCGGACGCUAAACUACUACAAAAAGAUUUGAACGAACAUUCAGCCAUCUGCCCAAACCGUUCACACCAGUGCCCACACUGCAGCAUCUUGGGACCAUACGAGAAGAUAACAACGCUACAUAUUGACAGCUGCCCAAAGGCUAAAGUUCAAUGCCCUUAUCCCGAGUGCAACCAAAGCAUACAACGUUGCUACCUUGAUACCCACAUCAACUAUUGCCUGCACAAAGCCAUACAGUGCAAGUUUGCGGAUGUUGGCUGUCCUGCUAUACUGAAACUAGCUGAUUUACAGGAGCACGAAGAAAAUGACCUACUCCAUCUACAGCUAACUAAAGAGAACGUACUAGAGCUCACACUGAUCCUCAAACAGAGGGAGACAAGGUUCAGAGUAUUCAUUAAACAGAGAAACAAAGUACUAGCUGAUCUUCAUCACAGCAUGCUCACUUGUGUGAGAUACAAAGGACCGACUACUCUUAAGUUUAGAGAAUUCGACAUGCACAAGCUGCAAGACAAGCUAUUUGCCAGUUCGAAGUUCUACCUCAAAACGGGCUAUCGAUUUCAAUUGGUGAUUUAUGCAAACGGUCGAAACCAGGGUGCAAACACACACGUCUCUGUAUAUCUAGCCAUUACAGAAGGACAAGAUGACGAAUACCUAACCUGGCCGUUUCAAGGCUCUGUAAAAGUCGAGAUACUCAAUCAGCUACAAGACCGCAACCACUUCAGCAAUGAUAUUCAUUUCCCUAAUAUUGACUACGUCAGCGGGAAAAUGGUUGAGGGCAAGACCACAACAGGUUGGGGAAAGGAACAGUUUGUCUCUAACAGAGAACUGGCAAACAUCUCAAGUAAAAGGCAGUACCUAAGGAGUGACACGCUGUACUUUCGUAUUACUAGUGUAGAAAAGCCUAUUAAAAAAGGCUCUGCAUGAUCUAUUGUAUCGCUGUACGCUGUAUAUGGUAAUAUUAUGUUUUGGCUGACUCCACACCUCACGAUUUAUAUACUAAACACAUUUAAAUUUAUAUACCCUCACCAAUUAUAAACUCAACAAAAUGAUUAUGAUUUAUAUGCUUCACGCUUCAAAAUGUAUACGAAACCUUAGCAGAACAACGGUAAACACAUAUUAGCAUCAGCCUAAACCAACUGCAAUAAUACGUCAAAUGUAUUGCGUAUCUAAUAACUUAAGAGGAUUAGAUACGUCAUGAAUGUGGCUUAUAGUAUUAGCGGCCAGAAAGGAAGUAGAUAAUUUUUAAGGCAUUGCCACUUCUGAAGUACUAGUUUGUGUUCAUUUCAAUACAAGUUUUUCAUGCAAACGUACAAUCACCUCUUCGUGCAAGCUAAUUAAAGGCAACUAAGAAUCACACGAUUAUGCUUGCUUGUGCCAAAGCACCAAUUUUAUCUAAAAAUCAACCACAGGAAUUCAAUUAACAUGUUGACUGUCACCUAUAUAAGGUCACCUCAAAACACAAUAGUCACAUGUAAAUCAAAAUUUAUUAUUUCUGACCAAGAUGGCUAUCACUAGAGUUAGAGGAGGCUAUGGCUACCAGUUUGUGGAGGAGCCUCCUCAUGGGCUCAAGUGUGUCAUCUGUCUAGCUGUAGCCAGGCAGCCACAACAACAUGGAGAGUGUGGAAGCUCUUCUGUAACAGCUGUCUGACUCAGCACCGACAGAUAAGCAACAAAUGCCCUAACUGUGAUCUCCAGCUAAUUACCUUCUUUGAUGGAAAGAGUGACCAAGAGAUCAAGACGAUAAAGGUGGGAUGCACAGGUGCAAAUGAUGGCUGCCAGUGGACAGGAGCACUCAGUUCUCUAGAUGAGCAUACCAAGGAAUGCGAAUAUAGCCAGGUCAUCUGCCCAAAUGGAUGCACCGUG